rnacentral:rRNA from 1 species
ACUCAAAUGAAUAGACGGGGGCCCGCACAAGCAGUGGAGCAUGUGGUUUAAUUGGAUGCUACGCCAAGAACCUUACCAAGACUUGACUUCCCAGUGUAACCUUGUAGAAAUACGAGGCCCCUUCGGGCACUGGAGACAGGUGGUGCAUGGUUGUCGUCAGCUCGUGCCGUGAGGUGUUGGAUUAAGUUCCGCAACGAGCGCAACCCUCGUGUUUAGUUGCCAUCAUUCAGUUGGGCACUCUAGACAGACUGCCGGCGUCAAGCCGGAGGAAGGUGGGGAUGACGUCAAAUCAUCAUGCCCCUUACGUCUUGGGCUACACACGUGCUACAAUGGACGGUACAAUAGGUUGCCACACCGCGAGGUGGAGCGAAUCCCCAAAGCCGUCCUCAGUUCGGAUUGCAGGCUGCAACCCGCCUGCAUGAAGCUGGAAUUGCUAGUAACCGUGCAUCAGCAUGGCGCGGUGAAUACGUACCCGGGCCUUGCACACACCGCCCGU